rnacentral:rRNA from 1 species
GUGGGGAAUAUUGGACAAUGGGCGAAAGCCUGAUCCAGCCAUGCCGCGUGUGUGAAGAAGGUCUUCGGAUUGUAAAGCACUUUAAGUUGGGAGGAAGGGCAGUAAGUUAAUACCUUGCUGUUUUGACGUUACCGACAGAAUAAGCACCGGCUAACUUCGUGCCAGCAGCCGCGGUAAUACGAAGGGUGCAAGCGUUAAUCGGAAUUACUGGGCGUAAAGCGCGCGUAGGUGGUUUUGUAAGUUGGAGGUGAAAUCCCCGUGCUCAACCUGGGAACUGCCUCCAAAACUGCAUGACUAGAGUACGGUAGAGGGUAGUGGAAUUUCCUGUGUAGCGGUGAAAUGCGUAGAUAUAGGAAGGAACACCAGUGGCGAAGGCGACUACCUGGACUGAUACUGACACUGAGGUGCGAAAGCGUGGGGAGCAAACAGGAUUAGAAACCCGGGUAGUCC